rnacentral:rRNA from 1 species
GGCCAAGUUUUUAAGGGCGCACGGUGGAUGCCUUGGCACCAGGAACCGAUGAAGGACGUGGGAGGCCACGAUAGGCCCCGGGGAGUCGUCAACCAGGCUUUGAUCCGGGGGUGUCCGAAUGGGGAAACCCGGCAGUCGUCAUGGGCUGUCACCCGCUGCUGAACACAUAGGCAGUGUGGAGGGAACGCGGGGAAGUGAAACAUCUCAGUACCCGCAGGAAGAGAAAACAACCGUGAUUCCGGGAGUAGUGGCGAGCGAAACCGGAUGAGGCCAAACCGUAUGCGUGUGAGACCCGGCAGGGGUUGCGCAUUCGGGGUUGUGGGAUCUCUCUUGAUCAGUCUGCCGGCUGGUCGGCGAGUCAGAAACCGUUGAUGUAGGCGAAGGACAUGCGAAAGGUCCGGCGUAGAGGGUAAGACCCCCGUAGUCGAAACGUCAGCGGCUCGUUUGAGAGACACCCAAGUAGCACGGGGCCCGAGAAAUCCCGUGUGAAUCUGGCGGGACCACCCGCUAAGCCUAAAUAUUCCCUGGUGACCGAUAGCGGAUAGUACCGUGAGGGAAUGGUGAAAAGUACCGCGGGAGCGGAGUGAAAUAGUACCUGAAACCGUGUGCCUACAAGCCGUGGGAGCGUCGCGUUGAGUGCUUGCACUCAACGUCGUGACUGCGUGCCUUUUGAAGAAUGAGCCUGCGAGUUUGCGGUGUGUUGCGAGGUUAACCCGGGUGGGGAAGCCGUAGCGAAAGCGAGUCCGAAUAGGGCGGUUUUAGUAGCACGCUCAAGACCCGAAGCGGAGUGAUCUAGCCAUGGGCAGGUUGAAGCGGAGGUAAGACUUCGUGGAGGACCGAACCCACCAGGGUUGAAAACCUGGGGGAUGACCUGUGGUUAGGGGUGAAAGGCCAAUCAAACUCCGUGAUAGCUGGUUCUCCCCGAAAUGCAUUUAGGUGCAGCGUCGUGUGUUUCUUGCCGGAGGUAGAGCACUGGAUAGGCGAUGGGCCCUACCGGGUUACUGACCUUAGCCAAACUCCGAAUGCCGGUAAGUGAGAGCGCGGCAGUGAGACUGUGGGGGAUAAGCUCCAUGGUCGAGAGGGAAACAGCCCAGAGCAUCGACUAAGGCCCCUAAGCGUACGCUAAGUGGGAAAGGAUGUGGAGUCGCACAGACAACCAGGAGGUUGGCUUAGAAGCAGCCAUCCUUGAAAGAGUGCGUAAUAGCUCACUGGUCUAGUGAUUCCGCGCCGACAAUGUAGCGGGGCUCAAGCGUACCGCCGAAGUCGUGUCAUUC